rnacentral:lncRNA from 1 species
UAAAAUUAAAAGUUAUUUCAUCAGUUUAAUCACCCUUUGUAACAUGUUGAGCAAAGGAUUACAUGCAAAAAUAGUUAUUUACCAAUUCAUAAAGUACAUAUAAAUUAUAAUAGGUAUAAUUUAUGAUACAUAGAGCGAUAAUUCAUAUGAAUACACUGUUUUACAUGCAACAAGGGUUUUAAUUCAAAACAAAUCAAGGGUUUACACUUAUCAAAUACAUGUUCGGGAUACUAAGUCAAGAACAUACUGUCAAUCAUUUAUUUCAGAAUGAUUGGGUUUUCAUAACUAAUAUACAUGUAACGUUUAUAUGCUUUUUAUGAGACAUUCAAUUCAGGUUGUUUAGAUUCAGUCUAGACAACCAAGGUAAAGCCCUGACAUUAUAACCAGAAUCUCCAGUCCGGGGAUCGAAACAAGUUGUGUGUAGAUCUAUAUCGGGAUUGACAACCCCGCACUCAGGCUGCUAGCUACAGUCAGGCAUACACGCCAAUGAGUGGCAAUUGUUAUCAACAGUUUAAGCGCUCACAAGGCGUUUGUUUCAGGCGUUCAUGUCUUAGUAUGGUUAUAAUAACUCAUUAAAAAGAUAUUAACCACACGUUAGUGUAUAACAACUAAAGUACAUCUUCAAAGUACCAGUUUACAAAAUACAAAGUACAAUGGUAUACUACAGUUUUCAAUAACAGCUGGUGAAGCCAGGCACACUCUCAAAUACAAGUUUUACAAAUACAAUGGUUUACAAAUAGGACGGUUUCAUGGGAAUAAAACUACUUUUCACAUACCACAGAAAAUAUGGAAUUUUCUAGAACGGUUUUCUUAUUCAAAACACAAAGACACCCAUGCAAACAUAAAGACUUAUGAACUCACUCAACUUAUUUUUGAUACUCUCUUUUCAAAUUACUUGUAUUCUCAGGGAAAUAAUAACAGGUACUCCCCGAGCUUUUUGAGUAAAUGGAGCCAUUAUGAGACUUAUCUUCUUCCUUUGUAUAACUGUUUUGGUUUCAAUAUACAAUGAUUGAACACAUGUAAAUAUUAUACUUUUAAAUACAAUGGUUGUUUGUACUUUGAUUACUAUGAUGCAUGUGUUGUGAUACUACAAAUGAAGUCCUCCACCCCCGGACGUUUCCGCCGUCUGGUUUGGGGGUGUGACAGAUUGGUAUCAGAGCAUUGUUUAUAGUGAACUCAGUAUAUCAAUCCAUAAAAGAUAUACAAACUAUAAAUACAUUCGGGCUGAGAGCUCUGACUACAAGUAUACUUUUAAGAAUUCUAAGUAUUUUUUAUAAAGAAGUAUACUAACCCUCAUACCUACAAGUACAUAGUCAUAAGAACUUAAAAGUAUUUGGAUGUUGAACAUUACAGUUAAACCCGGGCAGUUAUGUAAUCAUAUCUAGAAUUAAUAUAGCAUGAUUGACUAUAUUGAUUUCAGACAUGACCAACAUGUGUUUGGGAGUGAUAGUAGUGUUGUGACAUGUCUAAAACUUACCAACUACCAAAGAAACUCUAAGAACAGAACACAAAAUACUAUAAGAAUAUUAUAAACAUCCAUAUGCUUUAGUUUUCUUUUCAGGCAUUUCUCAUAACCUCAUUCUCGUACAGACACAAUGGCAGGACAUCAUCUACCAGGGGACCCUUAUUUUCCAAAUCAUGGCAAUCAAGGAUGGAUAGAGGAAGAUCCGGAGGAGGAUCCAAAAGAAGAUUCAGAUGAAGAACCGUUUGAGUACAGCGAAUCAAGUGGUACAGAUACAGAGCCACAAGUCUGCAACCCGGGGAUACGUCCCCCGAGACAAGAGGAAGCAAUCCCCAUACCCGAAUGGGGCCAAUACAAAAACUAUUGGAGUCGACAAGACGGCCAACGCCCUCCCUACGGAAUGGCAUGGGGUUUUUAUAAUGUCUCAGAAGGAGGAACAGCCGACAGAGCUCUUCCAGUUAUAGUGAACCGAAUUGCCCGACAAUUCGAUCAAUCAAGGAUGUCAAUCAAUCGUAUCCUAGAAGUGAAUGCGGCUGCACAGGCUAACGCUGCUGAUAUCCUUCGUCUUGACGAGAUGCAAGAUGAUACCCAGCACCAUACUGAGGCCCUUCAAAGGCAACUUAAUGCUGCUGAAUCAGAAAUCAAAGAACUAAGGGAGCAUCAAGCUGCCCAAGAAAGGCGCUGGAAAUCGCAAGAUGAAGCGGAACCCAGUAACCGUCGCAGCAACCGUCGCAAGUAGUGUUUACACUACUUUUCUAGUUUAAUAUAGUGAAUGUAUAGACUACUUUCAGGACAUGUACAAAAUCAAGCAUCAAUAAAAUAAUAAGGACCUUACUUCAACAAGAGCUAUUACAAUUUUCACAAACCUUCCAUUCCAAAGUUUUGCGAUUAAGGAUAUGUUCCAGUGUUUUUCGAUACGACCGCGAAUAAUUUUAUUUUCGGUAGGUCGGUUUAAUGUCGAUACUUUCAUACUAUUAUGGACCUGCUUGAAGGUCACAUAUACAGAUUACAUAGAUAUCAACUCAAUCGACAUGUAUUUAGAUACUCUUUGAAAAAUAACCACUCCAGUUUAUAUUACCCUAUUGCAAGUUAUACUUGCAGUGGACAUCUAUUUUCAAUUCUUUACAAGAUUCUUGUUGAAUUAAGUGUUUAAGUUGAGAGAUAUCAAAUUCAUAUUCAUUCUUGAUAUCUCACUAUCUUUUUAUUGACUUUUAUAGAAAAAAAGAGAUGCCUCCUCAUAGGAAUCCAAGGCGUAACAAUGAACCGGAAGCACCGAUGCCACCUCCACCACCACCCCCUCAAUUCGAUGUUGCCAUGUUCCAAGCGGCAGUCACGACAGCUGUAGCGGCUGCCUUAUCUAAUAUCAAUGUUGUCGGUACUAGUGGACCGGGAGCUGAUCCACAUCCUUCUAGCCUUGUCGAGGGUCAUGAGCACUCGAGGGAGUGCACUUAUAAAGACUUCUCGAAUGCCAAACCCAGGACCUUUAACGGAACUGGAGGAGUAAUGGUUUUAAGGCAGUGGAUUGAGAAGAUAGAAGCAGUCUUUGAAAUCUUCUCCUCUCCAGAGGGUAGCAAAGUUAAAUUUGCUGCCUUUACUUUCUUAGAUAAAGCCCUAACAUGGUGGAAUGGCCAUGUCAAGUCACUAACUUUGGUAGUGGCUAAUACUAUAAGCUGGGAGAACCUAAAAACCAUGCUGAUGCGUGAAUACUGCCCACGAGGGGAAAUUUAGAAAUUAGAACAAGAACUCUGGGGUAUUACUAUGGCCGGUGCCGACAUAACGACUUACACGAAUCGAUUCUGUGACUUGGCGAUUCUGUGUCCGGAAAUGGUUGCUCCAGAGAGCAAAAAGAUUGAAAGGUAUAUUUGGGGACUGUCGCCCCAGAUACAAGCAAGUGUCAUUGCAUCUAAACCUGUCACCUUUGACAGUGCCAAGGAACUGGCACAGUCACUUAUUGACCACGGAAACCGUCAAAACUCUGUGGUUACUGCCCCAGAACAACCUAGGGAGAACAACAACAACAUCAAGAAGAAGGGUUAGAACAAAAGGAAGGGAAAAUCUCCUCUGGAACCUUCAAAGAAGCAACAAAUAGUGGCAGUCCAUGCUACUACUGUGCCUGCUACCAUACCUACUACUGCACCUGCUGUUGCCCGUAACUACCCUGGACCAACUAAGCCCUAUGCCGGUAGUCUGCCUAAAUGCAACAAGUGCAAUUUUCACCACACCGGAAAUUGCCCUGAAAUGCAGUGUCGUAACUGCAACAGGAAAGGGCAUAUUGCCCGAUUCUGUCGAACACCACCUCAACCCCUUAACCAAGUACCUACAGCUGGAGUAAGUCGAGCAUGCUACCAAUGCGGUGAUGUGGGGCAUUUCAAGAAAGAUUGUCCAAAAGUUGGAAAUGCCAGUGGGGUUGGGAGAAUUCUGGCACUAGGUUAGGAAGAAGCGGUGGCAGACCCUACUGUGGUCACGGGUACGUUCCUUCUCAACAAUACUUAUGCAUGCAUUCUUUUUGAUUGUGGUGCCGAGAGCAGCUUCACGAGCCAUAACUUUAAACAUCUACUAAACCUGAACUCCCAACCACUAAAUAAAACCUUCACAGUAGAAAUGUGUCACACCCCAAAACCACGAACGGCGGAAACAUUCAGGGGUGGAGGACGUCAUGUACAGUAUCACAACAGUGAAAUAUAAUAAACAAGCAACAACAUCGUCCAUUGCAUUCUAAGUAAAGUUUUAAUACAUGUGUGUUCUUUCGCUGUAGUAAGACACCAAAAAUAUACAAUCAAAAUAAAAGACGAGACUUGUCUGCUCCGUCUUCUCAAAACCUGGCCUCCAUACCUGUCUACUGAUGCCCUGAGAAUACAAGUUAAUUUGAAAGAGAGUAUCAGCUUUAAAGCUGGUGAAUUCAUAAGUAUUUAAGUGUCAUUGUCUUGCUUUGAAAAGCUGUUUUAAAAUUUAUGUAAACCUUUAAAUGUAAAUGUUGAUGUAAGUAUGAAAAGCCCUAGAAAAUCCCUUAUUUUCUAUCAGUGUGAGAUGUAGUCUUCUACCAAGACCCGAAUGUUUUGUUAUGACAAUGUGGUCUUCUACCAAGACCCGAAUGUUUUGUUAGUAAAAUGAUAGUUUUUCCUUCUAUUGACUAUUAUUAAAGUACUUAGUCUAACUCAUCGUUUAUGUGAAUGUAUCACAAAAUAAUGUAAACAGGAAAAUGUACUACUGUAAGUGUUGUCACUGGGUACUAGGACCAACACAACAUCGCGUUGAGCGAAAAAUGCAACCUAAUGAACAUCCGAAGAUUGUACAGAAAAGUCAUAAUGUAAGUGUCAUCACUGGGUACUAGGAGUAACACAACAUCGCAAUAAGCGAAAAUUAUAACCUUAUGAACAAUCGAAGAUUGUCCACUUGUCCUCUGUAGCAGCAUCAGGUGGGUGGAGGGGUUAGCCCCGGUUAUCGAUCUUCCUAAUAUAUGUAGUAACCUUAGACCUCCGUAGAUGGUCAUCGACCACUGGUGCUAAUCAGUGGGGUUCGGAAUGGUAAGUCCCGCCGAGAUAUCCCAUUGAACCGGGAUAGGAAAGAUAAUUUACACGGAAAGUACUAAUAAAUCAUCCUCGUGUUUCUAAGUACAAGUAUCCAGGUAAGUGAAUAUAGGAUAAUGCACCUAUGUAAAAGUGUUCCUGAAUGGUAUUCGUGUAAGUGUGUUCGUGUAACAGGUAAGUAUAUGUAUAUGUACUCAUGUAUCAGGUAAUCAAAUGUAAAUGUACUCAUGUAUCAGGUAAUGUACUGGUGUAGACUCAUGAAUGAACUGACUCUUGUGUGGUUCCUUGUAAUAGGAAUUAUGUUCGAUAUCUCCAAAUUAUCCCUAUGAUAAUUUACUGGAAGGUAUUUGGUUGUUCAAAUAGGUUUAUACACUCUUACUACUCAAGGGUGUGAGAAACUAAAUGAAAGUUGUACACUAUAACAACAAUACAUAUAUAAGAAUAUAAGUGUAUAUGCAUAGUUUAGUUCAAGAAUGAAAAAUGGUUUUGUAAGAAAUUUUAUGGGUUUUGAACAAUAAUUAACAAUCACUUGAUGUCAUUUUUAAUAUACCUUUCAAAGGUAAAACAUUUGAUAACAAUGUGUUUUUAAGAUUUAAAACCAUUCCACACCCUUAAGCUUAUAUACAACCCUUAAAGCCCCGGUAUCAAGACUCGAUCCCAGAGUAAGCCGUGAAGCCCCGAAAUUCUCGAGAAUUCAUCCUCUAUCCUAUCAAAACUCUGCCCGAUUUGAGCCGGUUUCUCGACGAAUAAACUCCUUUUCGUGAAACGAAACCCUGUCCGAAUUACCACCUAUCAAGUGAGUUCAUACCCCCGUAUUUUGAUAAUUUCUACUGUUUUAAGGGGGGGAAAUACAAGUAUAACACAACAACUUUGUGUUAUAAAUAAAUGAUUUCAAAUCACGUUAAAAUGAUUUUAAAGCAUCGAAAAUACUUCAAAUUUUGAACUGUUUUAUAAACUUAUAUUUUUCCCAAAUAUACAUAUUUGUAUAUAUAAUUUAAUAUAAAUAAGAUUUAAAAGGCUUAGGACUAAUAAUUCAUUCUAGGUCCCUCUCCUUGUUUGGAUGUGGACUUAUAGUACCAGUUAUUUGUCCGAAGGUCGUUCCAAUUUUACUUAUAUAUAAAGUUGUAUAUGUAUAUAACAUUAAAAGUUAUUUCAUCAGUUUAAUCACCCUUUGUAACAUGUUGAGCAAAGGAUUACAUGCAAAAAUAGUUAUUUACCAAUUCAUAAAGUACAUAUAAAUUAUAAUAGGUAUAAUUUAUGAUACAUAGAGCGAUAAUUCAUAUGAAUACACUGUUUUACAUGCAACAAGGGUUUUAAUUCAAAACAAAUCAAGGGUUUACACUUAUCAAAUACAUGUUCGGGAUACUAAGUCAAGAACAUACUGUCAAUCAUUUAUUUCAGAAUGAUUGGGUUUUCAUAACUAAUAUACAUGUAACGUUUAUAUGCUUUUUAUGAGACAUUCAAUUCAGGUUGUUUAGAUUCAGUUUAGACAACCAAGGUAAAGCCCUGACAUUAUAACCAGAAUCUCCAGUCCGGGGAUCGAAACAAGUUGUGUGUAGAUCUAUAUUGGGAUUGACAACCCCGCACUCAGGCUGCUAGCUACAGUCAGGCAUACACGCCAAUG